GCGAUGCUCCUUCAGCAAUCCUAUGUUACAUGCGAGAGAUGAAUGCUUCUGAAGAUACAGCUGAGGCAAAGAUUAAGGGCAUGAUCGACAAUGCGUGGAAGAAAAUAAAUGGGACAUGCUUGAGAACUCCACAACAAGUGCCUUUUCUCUCACCAUUCAUCAACAACAUUGCCACAAAUAUUGCGCGAAUGGCGCACAGCCUUUACCAAGCUGGAGAUGGAUUUGGUGAUCAGGAACAAGGCUCUCGGCUGAUCCAGUCUGUGCUAGUUGAGCCUUUACCACUUUGAAGAGUUGGAAUCUAGAGAGUCAUCAAUAGUGUUUAAUAAGUAUUCUGUAAUAAUUUAGAAAAUUACUAAGUUAAAGUUUGUUGAGUCAUACUAAAACCAUCUUAGUGUUUGUGACUAGAAUUAUUGGACAACUAGUGGCUGAAAACACUUUAGAAAGUCAGUUACUGUGCACAACCGACUUGACUAGUUGUUUGCCGACUUAGAUGGUCUGUUUAUCAACUCUAUAAAUACGCAUGCAGCCCACUUAUGUAAUCAAAGCUAAUAAUAAAGGCUAAUAGCCUAUCUAGCCAAUAGCUACAAAUAGCUAAGACUUUUAUCCAUCCUAUUGUUGAAUAAAUAAAAUCACUCUAUUGUAAUUCUUAAAACCCAACAGUAUUUUUUUUUAAUAAAUAAAAUCACUCUAUUCCAAGGCAAUGUCAAGGUACAUGUGGUUAAACUACAGCUUUGAGAAGAGAUUUUGAAAAGAUUCGAGAUGAGUGACUUUAGGUUGAUUCACUACUUUUUGGGCAUUGAAAUAAAUCAACACUACAAAAAAAAAGUGGCAACAGUUACCAUUAUUUGGUGACAUUUGAUGACUAAUGGGGGGUAACUAAAGGCUUUAGUCACUCCACUUAUCACCAACGAGAAAUUAAGAAAGGAAGAUGAAUCAGUUUACAAAAGUCUCUUUGCUGCUCUAAGCCAAAUAAGCUUUGUCAGGCUCCUGGGUUGCACGACAGAAGGGAAAUUAGGAAGAGAUGGAGGAGUAAGGCUAGAAAUUGCGGGGUUUUAGGGAUGAGAGAUAAUGCUUGCUCUUUGGAUGUGCGUUUUGGGAGGGAGAGGAAGAAGAUGGAAGAACAGAGAAUGAAAUUGAAGGGUUCCAGAGAUGAGAGAUGAUGCUUGCUCUCUAGAUGUGUGUUUUGGGAGAGAGAGGAAAAAGAUGGACGAACAGAGCAUGAAGGUAAAGGGUUUCAGAGAUGAGAGAUGAUGUUUGCUUUCUCUGGAUGUGGGUUUUUGGGAGAGAUAGAGGAAGAAGAUGGAAGAAUAGAGCAUGAAAUUGAAGGGUUCCAGAGAUGAGAGAUGAUGCUUGCUCUCUGGAUGUGUGUUUUGGGAGAGCGAGGAAGAAGAUGGAAGAAAAGAGCAUGAAAUUGAAGGGUUCUAGGUAUGAGAGAUGAUGUUUGCUCUCUCUGGGUGUGGGUUUUUGGGAGAGAUAGAGGAAGAAGAUGGAAGAACAAAGCAUGAAAUUGAAGGAUUCUAGAGGGGAUGCUUGCCUUCGAUCGAUUUGUUGUGUCUUGGCUGGGUAGAAAGUGGCUCCUUUUAUAGGCACUUUGAAGACUCAAUUUUAUCAAGCCACCCUUUCCCAUUUUCCUUCACUUUCUUCCAUUCCAUCUUAUUUGGUGAAACUUCCUUAGUCUGAGCAUGUAGGCACGAAGCUUUUUGAAGUUCCAAGACCUUCACACAGCUGGACUUCUCCAUGUGGGUGAGGAGCCACCCACUUUUGUUUCUUGUUUUUUCACCAAAGCUUGAAGAGGAAAGAAUGGGUAAGGAUGCUUAGUCAAAAAGGUGAUCAGCACAUGGGUAUGCUUGGUUUUGGUGGUUUGGCUGUGAUCUGGUUUUAAUAGAGAUGUACAACGUUGGAUAUUUUAUAAGGUGCUGGGCUGGGCUAUUUUGUUUCCAGCGCUUGUGAGUUCCCUUUGAUUUCGUCAGGCUGCUGGAAGCUUUGGCUGAUGUGGGAUUUUAUGGGCUAUUAGGUUUUCUUAAGGUGAUGGGCUACUAGGUUUUCUCUCAUGCUUACCCAUAUGUUUGGGCUCAAUGAAUGGGCUUGAGUUUUGGUGCUCUCAAGUAGCCCAAAACUUCCACUCUUUAGACCAUCAAUGGGCCUCGUAAAUGCUCGUAACCAUCCACACCACAACCCGCUCAGCAAGUCCCAGAUAUUCGCGUGGCUUGGGCUCACUUAAACUUGUAGCGUGACAUGUUGCUUAAAUAAGAAUUUUCCGUUUGGUGUUGUACUGGGCUGAAAAUAUAUUUAGGCUCAGCCUUGGAUUUUUUGGGCCUCAACAACAAUCAACCUCUAUGUCCCACACAUCCUCCAAAAACUAUUGACAUUUUCAAAAGGGAGCUGAUUUUCUCACUCCUACACUUAGGGGUGGGCACGGUUCAGUUUGGACCGAUUUUUGUCUAAAAUUAGAACCGAUCCGGUACUAUUCAUCCGGUUUGGUUCGGUUCGAUUUUAAUUAAAAAAAUUUCAAAAACUGUCCGGUUCGGUUUGAACCGGUUUCGGUCCGGUUCCGGUUCCGGUUCGGUUUUGAACCGGAUUAUAAAAAUUAUUUUUUUAAAUUAUUUUUUAAUACAAUUCUCAACUGAAAUACUAUUUUUUUACUUGAAAAUUAACAAAUUACUCAAUUUCAUAUAAAAAAUAAAUAUUAAAGUGAGAAAAGAGAGAUAUUUUGACAUUGAGCUUGGAUAAAUAUUAGGUUUUUUUUAGUGAAAUUAAAAAUAUAGCAUUAAAUAUAAAUAUAUAUUGAAAUUAUAUUUUUUUUUAGUUUCACCGGUUCGGUUUUUGAAGACAUGGAACCGGAUUCGGAACCGGUCCAAACCGGUCCGGUUCGGUUUUUGACCGGUUUUUGACUUUUUGGUCAACUCGGUUUUUUUCCGGUUUGGUUCGGUACGGUUCGGCUCGGAUUUCCGGUUCGCCGGUUUGAGUGCCCACCCCUACCUACACUCCUUUUGUGGAAAUUGUAUGUUAUAGUAAACAAUAUUAAAAAAAAUAAAACAGAGUGUAAAUGAACAAAAUGAAAGUGAGAAAAUCAACACCCUUUCAAAAUUGGGCAUUCAAAUUUUAUUGGGCUCUUAAUGGGCUUUCAUUAGAGCCCAAUGGUUUUUGGGCCAAAUGACAGUGAUAUCCUUGGUUGCCGACAACCAAGACACUGAAUGCAUGAACACGUGUUAAUAACUGACACAUUCUCAUGUACUCUUUUGGACAUGCAAUAAUGAUCAGUUGCUCUAAAAUUUUACCCAACAGUAGUCUCCCACACCAAAUACGUACCACGAAUACAAAGAUUGUUGCCUGCCACCGACGAAGCCACAAUUAAUUCUUCACCCACCACUGCAUGCAUUAAAGAUGUGGUCAUUUCUUUGUCGUACGAUGAAACAUAACAUGUGUUAGAUACCAAAAAGGCAUUACUCAAUGCAUGUACGAAUUAGUUGAGUUUUGAAUUUUCUCAAUUUUCACGUGAAAGUGAGGCUAUAUGAGCAGUAUGUGAAAAUUAAACACACCUUUGCCUAUAUAAACCCCUCCAAAAUAACGGACAAUACCAAGAAAACCAUAUAAUUUACAAACACUAAGUUUCUAUUAUGGAAUUCAAAACAAACUUUCAAGCUGAUGAUCAUCAAAGACGCUCUGCUAAUUAUAAGCUAAAUAUUUGGAAGGAUGGUUUCCUUGAAUCUCUGAACAGCAAAUAUGUUGUGAGUCCUCUUUGUCCUAAUUAACUUUUCUCGAGAUAUUAAUAAUUUUAUUAGAUUUUUACUAGAAUAAUGACACAUUAAUUAACUGAGUGUGCAGAGAGAUGAUUAUACAAGGCAGUCCGAGAAUCUAAUAAAAGAUGUGAAGAAUAUGAUGUUUGUUGAAACUGAAGAUUUGAUAGCUCAAUUGGAGCUGAUUGACAUAAUUGGAAAACUAGGCCUCACGAACCACUUUGAAAAGGAAAUCAAGGAAGCCCUAGACACUGUUGCACUUUAAGAUCCUCAGGUAGCAUGGCUAUAAAGUAUCGCAAGGUAAAUAUAACGUACAAUAAUGUUAUUUGUAUCUUAUUCAUUUAUUUCGUUUUUAGGACAUUUCUAUUGAGACGGACCAUAAUAUACUAAAUUCACACACGCAUGCUAGGACUUGAACCUAGAACCAUUUUCAUGGGAGAGCAAUUGCUCCAAAACACUACAAUUCUGGGUCCUUUGCUUUAUUUUAUUUAUUGAUUACUUUGUUGACCACCUCUAUCAAUGUACGUGGGACUCACUUAUAUUAGAGAUGUACGUAUUUGUAAACAACUCCCAUAACACUAUCUUAUUUCAUGUUAUUUAAAUUUUCAAAUUGCCUUAAUAUUAAUGUAUGGGGUGAAAACACAUAUCUCUACGUACGUGUAGAUGUUUUUGGUGGCUUCAUGGAUGAGAAUGGUGCAUUAAAGGAAAGCAAUUUUUGGGAUGUCAAAGGCAUGCUUGAACUUUUGGAGGCCUCAAACCUGGCUUUUGAAGGCGAAAGGAUCUUAGAUGAGGCGAAAGCUUCCUCUACGGUAGCUCUCAGAGGUUCCAAAGUCUGGAAUCUGGACAAUAACCUUGCCAGGCAAGGUUAAAUUUCCAUCAUGGCUACACAUCUUUUAGAAUUUUGCUUAGUAAAGUCAUCAACUUGAUUCUGAUAAUAGACGACGUUUAUGACAUUUAUGGCUCAUUGGAAGAACUAAAGAUCUUCACCAACGCGGUCGACAGGUACCUUUGCAUUGCAGCAGUAUUAAAUUGGGGUUAGUUUCAUAAUUAAUGUCUAAAAUUCUUAUAAAUUAAAAUUGCCUUAAAUUUAGGUGGGAUGUUGGGGCAACCGAACAGCUUCCAGAGUGUAUGAAGACCUGUUUCCAAGUGCUCUACAACACUACUUGUGAAUUUGCUCAUGAAAUUGAGGAGGAGAGUGGUUGGAAUCUAGCAUUACCUCAUUUGAGCAAAGCGGUAGCCUAGCUAGGCCUUUCCCCCUUUUUUUUUCUCUUUGUUGUUUUGUUUAAUUUGAUGCACCUUUACAUAUAUAUUUUAUGGUUGAACUUGAAAUUAUUUGUUCGACUCUUAGUGGGCAGAUUUCUGUAAGGCAUUAUUAGUAGAGGCAGAGUGGUACAGCAGGAGCUACACACCAUCCCUUGAAGAAUACCUCAGUAAUGGAUGCAUUUCAUCAUCAGUUUCAGUCCUUAUGGUUCAUACAUUUUUCUCCACAACCCAUCGUGACGGAAUCAAAGAGAUUGCUGAUUUUCUGCACAAGAAUGAAGAUCUUGUCCAUAACAUAUCUCUGAUAGUUCGGCUCACCAAUGAUUUGGGAACUUCCACUGUAACUUUUCUUUCUUUAUUAAUUUUUCUUCUUAAUGAAACACGGCGAAAUCUAACCAAAUUGCUGUAGUGUUUUAUUAGUUUUUACAGCCUACUUCCAUAGUUUAAUUAAUUAAUUAAUUGAUUAACAGGCUGAACAAGAGAGAGGCGAUGCUCCUUCAGCAAUCAUAUGUUACAUGCGAGAGAUGAAUGCUUCUGAAGAUACAGCUGAGGCGAAGAUUAAGGGCAUGAUAGACAAUGCGUGGAAGAAAAUAAAUGGGAAAUGCUUGAGAACCCCACAACAAUUGCCUUUUCUCUCACCAUUCAUCAACAACAUUGCCACAAAUAUUGCGCGAAUGGCGCACAGCCUUUACCAAGCUGGAGAUGGAUUUGGGGAUCAAGAACAAGGCUCUCGGCUGAUCCAGUCUGU
rnacentral:lncRNA from 1 species